CCUACGGGAGGCAGCAGUGAGGAAUAUUGGUCCAUGGACGCAAGUCUGAACCAGCCAUGCCGCGUGCAGGAAGACGGCUCUAUGAGUUGUAAACUGCUUUUGUACGAGGGUAAACGCAGAUACGCGUAUCUGUCUGAAAGUAUCGUACGCAUAAGGAUCGGCUAACUCCGUGCCAGCAGCCGCGGUAAAAAGGAGGUGUCUAGGGUUAUCCGGAUUUAUUGGGUUUAAGGGGUUCGUAGGCGGUCGGGUAAGUUAGGGGUGAAAUCACGGGGCUCAACUUCGGACUUGCCUCUGAUACUGUUCGGCGAGAGAGUAGUUGCGGUAGGCGGAAGGGAGGGUGUAGCGGUGAAAGGCUUAGAGAUCAUACGGAACACCGAUUGCGAAGGCAGCUUACCAAGCUACUUCUGACGUUGAGGCACGAAAGCGUGGGGAGCAAACAGGAUUAGAUACCCCUGUAGUC
rnacentral:rRNA from 1 species